UAACUAAAGGAAAAAUCACCAUGAUAUAGAGAUCAUGUCUGCCGGUUUAAAGAAAACAUGAUAAGAAAGAAGAGAAAUUUCUCUUACUCUUUGGUGAUCUCUGAAUAUGAAACAAGACUUUCCGUGGACCAUCACAAUUCUGAAGAGCUGUUAAAAUCAUGCAAACUAAGCCACCAUGUAUUCUGUUACUCCUCUGGUAUAACACUUCUCCACAAUACUUACUAGAAGCAAAGUAUUAAUUUAGCCUUUUCAGGGCAUCAAUCUGCAAAGUGUCUCGAAAGCAAAAUUGAACUCCAUAGUGAGAUCUCCCACUGGACCUGAUUGGUUAAGCAACGUGAGAAUAACUGAACAUUGAAACUGGCUACAGCUCUUUAUUGAUUUUCCAUAUUUGCAGAGCAUGCUACUUAAUUUGCACCCAUCAUCAUGUUCCAAGGCUACUGUUCCUUUAUCUUUAAACUAACUGGCCGGCUAUAUACAGGAUACACCCACAUGGAUACAAAAGUUUAAAACAAAUGGAAGGGGUCAUAAUUUGUGCCAGUUCUGGUGUGGUUGCUUUCCAAGCCGCUUUAACAUAUACAUGCAUCCAGCUGCAGAAAAAAGACCAAGAGCCGCCAUAGCUAUAAUUGUUGAAUUUUCAAUAUUCUGGUAAAAACCUCUCUGAAUCAAAAGGAACAACAUAAGCGCGUUCGAAGGAGCGAUAGAUAAACUCAUCAUUCCUCCACGAAGAUCAUUAGGCACAUACAUGGUUCUCAAUCUGGCAAGUGAAGGCAAAACCAAUCCCACACAAGCAUGAAAUAUGCAGAAUAGCAUCAAAAGAAUUUCAACAUCCUGAUAAUCAAAAGCUACAACGGAAGUGACAAAGCCCAUAAUAAUACAGGCAUAUACUAAGCACUCCUCUGUUCGGAGUGAUAAAGGGCCACUAGAGAACCAGGAAAAUGCAGUGCUUCCAAGCAUUUUCGCACCAAGUACACAGGGGUAUACUAAACCUAGCAAAACCCCUCUCCCAUCUGCCACAAUGGUUGGAGCCCAAGUAAUCCAAAAAACUGCAAUUGAGAAGUGCAUGGUAGCUUGGGUCCAUGACAAAAGCCAAACCCUUUUAUCACUGAUUAUGUAUGUAUGAAAUUUAGUCUGAUAUUCUUUAAGAAUAAUUGAUUUUGGAUCUUCCUUCCAUCCUCGGCUGACAUAAGCCAGAGCACUAAGAGCCAUUAUUACCACUGCACUGGACGGAGCAAGCAAAGUUGUCUUUUCAUGACCACCAAUUAACCAGUUACCAACCACUUGGCUUCCAAUGAAAG
rnacentral:misc_RNA from 1 species